rnacentral:rRNA from 1 species
GACGAACGCUGGCGGCGUGCCUAAUACAUGCAAGUAGGACGCAGUUGCGAACGGGUGCGUAACGCGUAGGUAACUACCUAUUAGAGGGGGAUAACUAUUGGAAACGAUAGCUAAUACCGCAUACUAGUAGAUGGACCUGCGUUGUAUUAGCUAGUAGGUAGGGUAAUGGCCUACCUAGGCAACGAUACAUAGCCGAGCGUGGAGGGUGGACGGCCAACCUGGGACUGGGGCACGGCCCAGACUCCUACGGGGGGGAGGAGUAGGGAAACUUCGGCAAUGGGGGGAACCCUGACCGAGCAACGCCGGGUUAGUGAAGAAGGUUUUCGGAUCGUAAAGCUCUGUUGUGAAGGAAGCGGUACUUAACCAGAAAGGGACGGCUAACUACGUGCCAGCAGCCGCGGUAAUUC